UGGUGGGGUGACUUGUCUGCCUAAUCGCGAUAACGAACGAGACCUUGACUGCUAAAUAGCACGCGCCGCCUCGGCGGCGUCGCGGCUUCUUAGUGGGACUAUCGGCUCAAGCCGAUGGAAGUUCGAGGCAAUAACA
rnacentral:rRNA from 1 species